AAGGUUAAGCCUCACGGUUCAUUAGUACCGGUUAGCUCAACGCAUCGCUGCGCUUACACACCCGGCCUAUCAACGUCGUCGUCUUCAACGUUCCUUCAGGACCCUUAAAGGGUCAGGGAGAACUCAUCUCGGGGCAAGUUUCGUGCUUAGAUGCUUUCAGCACUUAUCUCUUCCGCAUUUAGCUACCGGGCAGUGCCAUUGGCAUGACAACCCGAACACCAGUGAUGCGUCCACUCCGGUCCUCUCGUACUAGGAGCAGCCCCCCUCAGUUCUCCAGCGCCCACGGCAGAUAGGGACCGAACUGUCUCACGACGUUCUAAACCCAGCUCGCGUACCACUUUAAAUGGCGAACAGCCAUACCCUUGGGACCUACUUCAGCCCCAGGAUGUGAUGAGCCGACAUCGAGGUGCCAAACACCGCCGUCGAUAUGAACUCUUGGGCGGUAUCAGCCUGUUAUCCCCGGAGUACCUUUUAUCCGUUGAGCGAUGGCCCUUCCAUUCAGAACCACCGGAUCACUAUGACCUGCUUUCGCACCUGCUCGCGCCGUCACGCUCGCAGUCAAGCUGGCUUAUGCCAUUGCACUAACCUCCUGAUGUCCGACCAGGAUUAGCCAACCUUCGUGCUCCUCCGUUACUCUUUAGGAGGAGACCGCCCCAGUCAAACUACCCACCAGACACUGUCCGCAACCCGGAUUACGGGCCAACGUUAGAACAUCAAACAUUAAAGGGUGGUAUUUCAAGGUCGGCUCCAUGCAGACUGGCGUCCACACUUCAAAGCCUCCCACCUAUCCUACACAUCAAGGCUCAAUGUUCAGUGUCAAGCUAUAGUAAAGGUUCACGGGGUCUUUCCGUCUUGCCGCGGGUACACUGCAUCUUCACAGCGAGUUCAAUUUCACUGAGUCUCGGGUGGAGACAGCCUGGCCAUCAUUACGCCAUUCGUGCAGGUCGGAACUUACCCGACAAGGAAUUUCGCUACCUUAGGACCGUUAUAGUUACGGCCGCCGUUUACCGGGGCUUCGAUCAAGAGCUUCGCGUUGCCGCUAACCCCAUCAAUUAACCUUCCGGCACCGGGCAGGCGUCACACCGUAUACGUCCACUUUCGUGUUUGCACAGUGCUGUGUUUUUAAUAAACAGUUGCAGCCAGCUGGUAUCUUCGACUGAUUUCAGCUCCACGAGCAAGUCGCUUCACCUACAUAUCAGCGUGCCUUCUCCCGAAGUUACGGCACCAUUUUGCCUAGUUCCUUCACCCGAGUUCUCUCAAGCGCCUUGGUAUUCUCUACCUGACCACCUGUGUCGGUUUGGGGUACGAUUUGAUGUUACCUGAUGCUUAGAGGCUUUUCCUGGAAGCAGGGCAUUUGUCGCUUCAGCACCGUAGUGCCUCGUCAUCACGCCUCAGCCUUGAUUUUCCGGAUUUGCCUGGAAAACCAGCCUACACGCUUAAACCGGGACAACCGUCGCCCGGCCAACAUAGCCUUCUCCGUCCCCCCUUCGCAGUAACACCAAGUACAGGAAUAUUAACCUGUUUCCCAUCGACUACGCCUUUCGGCCUCGCCUUAGGGGUCGACUCACCCUGCCCCGAUUAACGUUGGACAGGAACCCUUGGUCUUCCGGCGAGCGGGCUUUUCACCCGCUUUAUCGUUACUUAUGUCAGCAUUCGCACUUCUGAUACCUCCAGCAACCCUCACAGGCCACCUUCACAGGCUUACAGAACGCUCCCCUACCCAACAACACAUAGUGUCGCUGCCGCAGCUUCGGUGCAUGGUUUAGCCCCGUUACAUCUUCCGCGCAGGCCGACUCGACCAGUGAGCUAUUACGCUUUCUUUAAAUGAUGGCUGCUUCUAAGCCAACAUCCUGGCUGUCUGGGCCUUCCCACAUCGUUUCCCACUUAACCAUGACUUUGGGACCUUAGCUGGCGGUCUGGGUUGUUUCCCUCUUCACGACGGACGUUAGCACCCGCCGUGUGUCUCCCGUGAUAACAUUCUCCGGUAUUCGCAGUUUGCAUCGGGUUGGUAAGUCGGGAUGACCCCCUUGCCGAAACAGUGCUCUACCCCCGGAGAUGAAUUCACGAGGCGCUACCUAAAUAGCUUUCGGGGAGAACCAGCUAUCUCCCGGUUUGAUUGGCCUUUCACCCCCAGCCACAAGUCAUCCGCUAAUUUUUCAACAUUAGUCGGUUCGGUCCUCCAGUUAGUGUUACCCAACCUUCAACCUGCCCAUGGCUAGAUCACCGGGUUUCGGGUCUAUACCCUGCAACUUAACGCCCAGUUAAGACUCGGUUUCCCUUCGGCUCCCCUAUUCGGUUAACCUUGCUACAGAAUAUAAGUCGCUGACCCAUUAUACAAAAGGUACGCAGUCACCCCAUUAAGAGGCUCCCACUGCUUGUACGUACACGGUUUCAGGUUCUUUUUCACUCCCCUCGCCGGGGUUCUUUUCGCCUUUCCCUCACGGUACUGGUUCACUAUCGGUCAGUCAGGAGUAUUUAGCCUUGGAGGAUGGUCCCCCCAUAUUCAGACAGGAUACCACGUGUCCCGCCCUACUCAUCGAGCUCACAAUAUGUGCAUUUUUGUGUACGGGGCUGUCACCCUGUAUCGCACGCCUUUCCAGACGCUUCCACUAACACACACACUGAUUCAGGCUCUGGGCUCCUCCCCGUUCGCUCGCCGCUACUGGGGGAAUCUCGGUUGAUUUCUUUUCCUCGGGGUACUUAGAUGUUUCAGUUCCCCCGGUUCGCCUCAUUAACCUAUGGAUUCAGUUAAUGAUAGUGUGACGAAUCACACUGGGUUUCCCCAUUCGGAAAUCGCCGGUUAUAACGGUUCAUAUCACCUCACCGACGCUUAUCGCAGAUUAGCACGUCCUUCAUCGCCUCUGACUGCCAGGGCAUCCACCGUGUACGCUUAGUCGCUUAA
rnacentral:rRNA from 1 species